rnacentral:rRNA from 1 species
CCUACGGGGGGCAGCAGUGGGGAAUCUUCCGCAAUGGGCGAAAGCCUGACGGAGCAACGCCGCGUGAACGAUGAAGGUCUUAGGAUCGUAAAGUUCUGUUGUUAGGGACGAAGGAUAAGGAUUAUAAUACAGUCUUUGUUUGACGGUACCUAACGAGGAAGCCACGGCUAACUACGUGCCAGCAGCCGCGGUAAUACGGAGGGUGCAAGCGUUAAUCGGAAUUACUGGGCGUAAAGCGCACGCAGGCGGUUUGUUAAGUCAGAUGUGAAAUCCCCGGGCUCAACCCCGUGAUGGGGUCCGAACUGGUUUUCUUGAGUGCAGGAGAGGAAAGCGGAAUUCCCAGUGUAGCGGUGAAAUGCGUAGAUAUUGGGAAGAACACCAGUGGCGAAGGCGGCUUUCUGGACUGUAACUGACGCUGAGGCUC